rnacentral:rRNA from 1 species
UUGACCUCAAUCAGGUAGGGAUACCCGCUGAACUUAAGCAUAUCAAUAAGCGGAGAAAAGAAACCAACCGGGAUUACCUCAUAACGGCGAAUGAAGCGGUAACAGCUCAAAUUUGAAAUCUGGCUCCCUGCGGAGUCCGAGUUGUAAUUUGUAGAAGAUGCUUUGGGUGCGUGGCCCGGCCUAAGUUCCUUGGAACAGGACGUCGUAGAGGGUGAGAAUCCCGUAUGCGGCCGGGGCGCCUGCCCGUGUAAAGCUCUUUCGACGAGUCGAGUUGUUUGGGAAUGCAGCUCAAAAUGGGUGGUAAAUUUCAUCUAAAGCUAAAUAUGGGCCAGAGACCGAUAGCGCACAAGUAGAGUGAUCGAAAGAUGAAAAGCACUUUGGAAAGAGAGUUAAACAGUACGUGAAAUUGUUGAAAGGGAAGCGCUUGCAACCAGACUUGGGCGUCGCUGAUCAUCCAAAGUUUUCUUUGGUGCACUCGGCGAGGCACAGGCCAGCAUCGGUUGGGGUGGUGGGAGAAAGGUCGUGGGAACGUAGCUCCUUUCGGGGAGUGUUAUAACCUGCGGCGCAAUACCACCUACUCCGACCGAGGACCGCGCUUCGGCUAGGAUGCUGGCGUAAUGGUUGUAAGCGACCCGUCUUGAAACACGGACCAAGGAGUCUAACAUCUAUGCGAGUGUUUGGGUGCAAAACCCAUACGCGUAAUGAAAGUGAACGUAGGUGAGAACCCUUCGAGGGGGCAUCAUCGACC